AUUUGACAUUUCUCUCCCCUACUUCUGUGUACGAGAUUCGAUGCGGACUCGCUUGAGGGGUCCAUGCUCGCAAAAAAUGAUUUGUUCUGGAAAUGUGAGAGCUGGAUAUCUUGUUAAUAUGAUGUCUUUGGUCUGUCUUAAGUGAGGUGACGCCAACCAGAAGGAAAAAGAAGAAGAAGAGCAAAAAUCUCGCUGUGUGGCUAAGUUGAGUCGCCAAAGUACGGAUAAAAAUUCUUCCUUUCUCGCGAAAUACUCGAAUUUUCACCACACUAACACGAUACAACGUGCUCACCCGUUGAGAGAUUCACCGGAAGUGUAAACAUGGUCACAGCAGAAGGCAGAUAAAUACAGUUGAUUUUCGGACGACCAGAAGCCAACGGACCAAGAUCGAGUCUCGUAUUCUAGUUCACUGGGUACUACUACAACUACGAAAUACUGAACAAGUGCCUGCUGCUCACUAUUCUGCUUUCCACUUUGAUGACUAUGAGACCCUUGUAGCUCUAUAUAAACAGCAUCUUUGUCGUAAACAAUUCCUCCAACGCCGGACAUGGGAGCAUAAAGCAAUCGUUCCUUCUCCAGCAAGUUUCGCUUUUUCUCUUUCGAUGGAAAAGGACACGGAUCUGGGGAACCCCUCGAACAUAACCGUACAGCACUACGUCUCGAUCGCACUUCGGGUUGAGUCGAAUCUCUUCCGAGCUUGUGAUGUCUUCCAUUCUAUCAGCCAAAAUAUAGCUGUGUGCUCCUCGCCACAUACUCCCCGUGGAUCAAACCAGAGAGAUAGAAUAGUUUUGCUCCAUCAUACACUUCUGUCCAGAAACGAUGUUUCAGUGUUUUUUUCUGCAUUUUGACGGCUUUAGCAGUUUUAAUCGUGUCCAAGUGGG